rnacentral:rRNA from 1 species
AGACGAGUGCCCCGAGCGUUAUCCGGAAUCACUGGGCGUAAAGGGUCCGCAGGCGGUCUGACACAUCUCCUGUUAAAGCCCGGGGCUCAACCCCGGAUCAGCAGGAGAGAUGGUCAGACUAGAGGCUGGGAGAGGCUAGCGGAAUGGUAGGUGUAGGGGUAAAAUCCGUUAAUAUCUACCAGAACACCGAAGGCGAAGGCAGCUAGCUGGAACAGUCCUGACGCUCAGGGACGAAAGCGUGGGGAGCGAAGAGGAUUAGAUACCCUAGUAGUCC